AGGAGGGCGAGGCCUGGGGUAGGGCCAGGAUAAGCGUCGUUGGGGCAGGUCCUGGGUAGAGUCCAGGUUGGCGGGUCCUGGGGCGGAGUCAGGAUAGGGCGAUCCUGGAAGCUGGGCUUCAGAAGCGUCCAGCAGGGGCCUUACAGGUGCACGCUUCGGUCCUGGAGGCCUUAUCCUAACCUCUCCAUCAGCGCCACCCGUCUGGGGCCCGAAAGGAGGGAGCUUUCCCUCUGUCCUCCAGCCUUUGGACUGUCUCCAAACAAGCCAUUCGUUCACCAAAUACUUAUUAAGCACCUACCAUGUGCCUGACAAGGGAGAUGUAACGGUGAGAAAGACUAGGUGUGGUCUGGGCCCUCCAGAGGCUCAGGGGCUCGUGGAAGAAGUGGACAUUGAAGCCAGAGUGCAGUUGACGCAGGGCAGGGGAGCCCCGAAGUGGAGCAUAGUGUGUCCGGAACUGGUGGGUUCUUGGUCUCACUGACUUCAAGAAUGAAGCCGUGGACCCUCACGGUUCAAGCGAUUCUCCUGCCUCAGCCUCCAGAGUAGCUGGAACUACAGAUGCGCACCACCACGCCCAGGCUGUGCUUCUCAGUGGCUCCCACCAGAUACCUGAUGGUCCUGUCGAUUUGCUGAAUCAUCAACUUCCUAUUCUCUGCCUCUGGCCUGAAUCGAUGUCCCACGUUAUCUGGCUCUCUGUAACACAGAGUCACAAAGUCAAAGUCUUCCUUGGUGAACCAGUUCAUGACAGUAUCGAUGUUCGCACUCCGCUCUGUCUCGUUGCUGUUUGGGUGAGUGUAGGACUCCACCAGGGACUGCUUGACAGCCUCACCCUCGUAUUUAGCACCUCCCCUGGAAUAGUGGGAUGAUGCUGCUUUGUUGCCCUGCAAGUACAAGAAGAAAAUUCCGUCAGGGCCAUUUAUCAUACCUUUCUCACAAUCAGCAAAGCUCGAGUUGUCUACAUCUGUGCCCCAGUCCAAAGACAUAGAAAAUAUGUGGUCUUUGGAGUCAGACAGGGUGGAGUUAGAUUCUGGGCUUCCCCAGGAUCUCAUAGCAUCUACAACACUGUUAGUUACAAGAUGUGCUAUUAUUUUAUGGGCUACUAAGCAGAAAAAUGCUGCCAACGAGACCGUGACUUACCAGUGAUUGUAAGGUGUAUUCCAACUUCAGAGAUGGCAAAAUGAAAAAUAAUUCCUUAGAAUAGAGGGAGAC
ensembl:lncRNA LINC02018 long intergenic non-protein coding RNA 2018